GACGAACGCUGGCGGCGUGCUUAACACAUGCAAGUCGAACGCUGAAGCCCUGGCUUUUGUUGGGUUGGAUGAGUGGCGAACGGGUGAGUAACACGUGAGUAACCUGCCCUCUUCUUUGGGAUAACGCCCGGAAACGGGUGCUAAUACUGGAUAUUCACUGAUCUUCGCAUGGGGGUUGGUGGAAAGGUUUGUUCUGGUGGGGGAUGGGCUCGCGGCCUAUCAGCUUGUUGGUGGGGUGAUGGCCUACCAAGGCUUUGACGGGUAGCCGGCCUGAGAGGGUGACCGGUCACAUUGGGACUGAGAUACGGCCCAGACUCCUACGGGAGGCAGCAGUGGGGAAUAUUGCACAAUGGGCGAAAGCCUGAUGCAGCGACGCCGCGUGAGGGAUGGAGGCCUUCGGGUUGUAAACCUCUUUCGCCCAUGGUCAAGCCGCAACUGUGGGUUGUGGUGAGGGUAGUGGGUAAAGAAGCGCCGGCUAACUACGUG
rnacentral:rRNA from 1 species